rnacentral:rRNA from 1 species
GGGGAAUAUUGCACAAUGGGCGAAAGCCUGAUGCAGCAACGCCGCGUGAGUGAUGAAGGUCUUCGGAUUGUAAAGCUCUGUCUUUUGGGACGAUAAUGACGGUACCAAAGGAGGAAGCCACGGCUAACUACGUGCCAGCAGCCGCGGUAAUACGUAGGUGGCGAGCGUUGUCCGGAUUUACUGGGCGUAAAGGGUGCGUAGGCGGAUGUUUAAGUGAGAUGUGAAAUACCCGGGCUUAACUUGGGUGCUGCAUUUCAAAGCUGGAUAUCUAGAGUGCAGGAGAGGAGAAUGGAAUU